rnacentral:lncRNA from 1 species
CCCAACAGGCAACUUUGCCCACUAAUCAAUUGGGACAUGGAGCGAGAAAAGAGAAGAAAAGAAAAAUCAUCCACCAGAAAGGCACCCUCUAUCACCACGAUAAAAACUAAUUAAAUCCUUUUGUCUGCUGCAGGAAAAUAAAGGAUUGAUGAUGGCAGCAAGAUGCAAAGCCAGGGAAGUCACCCAAAACCGGGGCAGAAAAUUUUCUGCCGAUUGUCAAAAUUUUCUCGGAAGAAUGGGGAAACAAUUUGGAAUACAUUUAAGUUCUAGGUCGCCCACCAGUAUAAUGCGGGAAUACAUUUUAGCUCUAGGUCGCCCACCAGUAUAAUGCGGGAAUACUUUUAAGUUCUAGGUCACCCACCAGUAUAAUGCGGGAAUACUUUUAAGUUCUAGGUCGCCCACCAGUAUAAUGCGGGAAUAC